rnacentral:rRNA from 1 species
UCGAGAAUCUUUCACAAUGGGGGAAACCCUGAUGGAGCGACGCCGCGUGGAGGAUAAGGUCUUCGGAUUGUAAACUCCUGUCAUGCGAGAAAAAAGCUUAACGGCCUGAUGGUAUCGCAAGAGGAAGAGACGGCUAACUCUGUGCCAGCAGCCGCGGUAAUACAGAGGUCUCAAGCGUUGUUCGGAAUCACUGGGCGUAAAGGGUGCGCAGGCGGCGUGGAAAGUCAGAUGUGAAAUCCUGGGGCUCAACCUCAGAAUUGCAUCCGAUACUCCCACGCUUGAGUGUUGUAGAGGAGCUUGGAACUCUCGGUGUAGCAGUGAAAUGCGUAGAUAUCGAGAAGAACGCUCGCGGCGAAAGCGAGGCUCUGGGCAAUCACUGACGCUCAUGCACGAAGGCUAGGGGAGCAAACG